GGCAGUUCUCAAGUGAUGCACCCUGGAAUCGGCUCCCGCCUCUCUGGUUCAGGGUGUAUCACCUGAGAACCACC
rfam:Myotis lucifugus cont2.44805, whole genome shotgun sequence.